UAGCAUCUAAUUAAGGUAUUAAGCAGGGAGGAGAUAAAUUCCACACACCACUAAAUUUAAGGCCUAAGUAAAUUGCUGUGUUUGGGAAUAAAUAAGACUGUAGGAAUUCCCGACAUCGAUAAUUGCAUAGUUGUGGUGGUUACUGUAACACAUUUAGUAAAGUUCUGAGUCUGACUGAAAAUACUGGUGUAAAUUUUAUCUUCUGUGAACUCUGAUUUAAAUGGAAUAUUUAGAUAAUUGACAGUUGCAUUAUUAUAAUUAUUAAUUUUAUUAUUAUUAUUUAUGAUUUUUUUUUUCCCCUAGCUUCUCAGCCCGUGGAAAGUAGCAAACACACACCAAGGAGGCUACACAACAAGAUGGAAAGUCUGGAAGACCUGGUGGAAUUGUUACAGAUAGAAAACCAAGCCACGUCACCAGUGAUCAGAACUCAGGAGGUGAAGACAAAGAAAUCCAAGGAAAAGGAGAACAGGCUCUCCAAGUGAAGAUGUUAGUGAUUCCUUUCACGUGGAUGGCACAGGAGGGCACCCCGGAUGACAGCCAGCCCCUAAGAGAGAAAACCUAAUACCAGGCUAAUCUGUGGAGAGACUCCAAACAGUAAGUUUAACUCCCAGAGAGAAUGUGGGAUGGGCACGUGCUUUGCCAAGC